UCUACGGCCAUACCACCCUGAACAUGCCCGAUUCUGUCUGAUCUCAGAAGUUAAGCAGGGUCAGGGCUGGUUAGUAUUUGGAUGGGUAAAAACAAUGAAUGAUGUAAGAU
rnacentral:rRNA from 1 species